rnacentral:rRNA from 1 species
UACGUAGGGAGCAAGCGUUGUCCGGAAUUAUUGGGCGUAAAGAGCUCGUAGGCGGUUUGUCACGUCUGCUGUGAAAACUGGAGGCUCAACCUCCAGCCUGCAGUGGGUACGGGCAGACUAGAGUGCGGUAGGGGAGAUUGGAAUUCCUGGUGUAGCGGUGGAAUGCGCAGAUAUCAGGAGGAACACCGAUGGCGAAGGCAGAUCUCUGGGCCGUAACUGACGCUGAGGAGCGAAAGCAUGGGGAGCGAACAGG